AAUUGAGGGGGGCUGCUCCUAGUACGAGAGGACCGGAGUGGACGCAUCACUGGUGUUCGGGUUGUCAUGCCAAUGGCACUGCCCGGUAGCUAAAUGCGGAAAAGAUAAGUGCUGAAAGCAUCUAAGCACGAAACUUGCCCCGAGAUGAGUUCUCCCUGAGACCUUGAGUCUCCUGAAGGAACGUUAAAGACGAUGACGUUGAUAGGCCGGGUGUGUAAGCGCAGCGAUGCGUUGAGCUAACCGGUACUAAUGAACCGUGAGGCUUAACCUUACAACGCCGAAG
rnacentral:rRNA from 1 species